ACGCUGGCGGCGUGCCUAAUACAUGCAAGUCGAACGAGAGCGACCGGUGCUUGCACUGGUCAAUCUAGUGGCGAACGGGUGAGUAACACGUGGGUAACCUGCCCAUCAGAGGGGGAUAACAUUCGGAAACGGAUGCUAAAACCGCAUAGGUCCUUUAACCGCAUGGUUGAAGGAGGAAAAGAGGCGCAAGCUUCUGCUGAUGGAUGGACCCGCGGUGCAUUAGCUAGUUGGUGAGGUAACGGCUCACCAAGGCCGUGAUGCAUAGCCGACCUGAGAGGGUGAUCGGCCACAUUGGGACUGAGACACGGCCCAAACUCCUACGGGAGGCAGCAGUAGGGAAUCUUCCGCAAUGGACGCAAGUCUGACGGAGCAACGCCGCGUGAGUGAAGAAGGUUUUCGGAUCGUAAAACUCUGUUGUUAGAGAAGAACAAGUGCUAGAGUAACUGUUAGCGCCUUGACGGUAUCUAACCAGAAAGCCACGGCUAACUACGUGCCAGCAGCCGCGGUAAUACGUAGGUGGCAAGCGUUGUCCGGAUUUAUUGGGCGUAAAGCGAGCGCAGGCGGUUCCUUAAGUCUGAUGUGAAAGCCCCCGGCUCAACCGGGGAGGGUCAUUGGAAACUGGGGAACUUGAGUGCAGAAGAGGAGAGUGGAAUUCCAUGUGUAGCGGUGAAAUGCGUAGAUAUAUGGAGGAACACCAGUGGCGAAGGCGACUCUCUGGUCUGUAACUGACGCUGAGGCUCGAAAGCGUGGGUAGCAAACAGGAUUAGAUACCCUGGUAGUCCACGCCGUAAACGAUGAGUGCUAAGUGUUGGAGGGUUUCCGCCCUUCAGUGCUGCAGUUAACGCAUUAAGCACUCCGCCUGGGGAGUACGACCGCAAGGUUGAAACUCAAAGGAAUUGACGGGGACCCGCA
rnacentral:rRNA from 1 species